GGGGGGACACUGUGAGGAUGAAGCUGCCGGUCUUGGUGGUUGUCUCACUGCUGCCUGUGCCCAGGCUGCAGACCCCCCUGCACGCAGCCUCCGGGACAUACUGUAGUGAGGAAGAGCUCCCUGAGACGGAAGGUGUCCCUCUUGAACCCAGUACUGGAAGGUAGGGUCCCCCCCACUGAACAGUAUAGGUCCAGUCCAGGCCCCACUGACCCCUCCUGAGUUUGAGGACGAACAGAAGCCUGCUACAUUCAUGUUCGGGGACAAUGUCAGGGGGUGGCAGGUAGCCUAGUGGUUAGAGUGUUGGACCAAAGACUCAGUCGGAACGUGCCCCGGAGUGGGCAUCUACAUGGAGAAGAACAAGUAUGGCUUGGGGAGGUGGUCCCUCAGUUCGAGGCCUUCUUCCUGCCCUGGGAGGGCGAUGAGUGCUGGUACAAGAGCUACCAGGUCCUGACCAUCAACAGGGACGCCUACAGCCAGCACAUCUCCUACGUCAAGUACGGCAUCGAUGAGGUGGAAAUAUUCCACUACCCCAGUCAAAUACUGUAUGGAAAAUGAUAUUACCAUGUACUAUUUUUCUUUUCAGCACUUCAAAAAGAACAGUUUUGAAAUGUGUAUGUUGUGUUUUUUGCUAUUGGAUAAAAUGGUGAAUGAAUUCAUGUUUUUUUUGCACAAUCAAAGAUUCUGAACAUAAGAUAGGGG
ensembl:lncRNA